CUUCCACUCCUUCUGCCACAUGAAGAUGUAGAGUUCCUCCCCUCCAGAGGAUGCAGCAAUCCAGGUGCCAUCUCAGAAGUGGAGGCUGGACCCUCCUCAGACACUGAACCUACUGGCACCUUGAUUUAGGACUCCCCAGCCUCCAGAACUGGCUGGCAAGAUGAUCAAAGGAGGUGCGGUGUGACUCGCAAGCUGGAGAGACGGGAAAGCCUGCUCCUGAUGUGGAAAGCAUCAUUAUUAUCCCCCACUGCAGACAGCCACAGAGCGCUGGAGCUGGGAGGAACCUUCCAGAUCCCUCAGGGGCUGGACUGCUUAUCUCCACAGCAGCAGCCCCGCACCUCUGAGGCAACAAAGCUAGAAGCUGUCAUUUCAAGUGGAGAAACGCAGGCGCAGAAAAGAACCUGGAACUAGCAGCUGUUUUGGCAGCCAGAUGAGAUGCCCCCUGGGAGAGCCAUGCCUCUUGUGGAAAGGGCCUGCUCCUCCUCACCUUCAGGAAGUUCUACUAAAAUUCAGUAAUCUUACUAGGCAGUAAGAUUCAGGACAUAGGCAUGGGCAAGGACUUCAUGUCUAAAACACCAAAAGCAAUGGCAACAAAAGACAAAAUUGACAAAUGGGAUCUAAUUAAACUAAA
rnacentral:lncRNA from 1 species